AGGGGAGCAUCGCCAGCGACGGU
rnacentral:miRNA from 14 species